rnacentral:rRNA from 1 species
UACGUAGGGUGCGAGCGUUGUCCGGAAUUAUUGGGCGUAAAGAGCUCGUAGGCGGUGUGCCGCGUCGGCCGUGAAAACCUGGGGCUUAACUCUGGGCGUGCGGUCGAUACGGGCAUCACUGGAGUUCGGCAGGGGAGACUGGAAUUCCUGGUGUAGCGGUGAAAUGCGCAGAUAUCAGGAGGAACACCGGUGGCGAAGGCGGGUCUCUGGGCCGAUACUGACGCUGAGGAGCGAAAGCAUGGGUAGCGAACAGG